rnacentral:lncRNA from 1 species
AAGGUAAUCACAAGGGAUCAUUCUAUCCAUAAAUCAAAGGACUCAAAAUAUGACGCAUCGAGGGUUAACCUAUCAUUUAUGCAAAGUAUUGAAGAUGAUUCACAAUCAUCUAUCAACAGUUUUGAAUCAAAGAAGGUUGAUCAACCUCAAGUCCAUCUAUCAAUGAUAUGAGAUGAGGAAGAAUUCAUCAACCAAGCAAUCAAACUCAAUUCAAAACAUCAAAUGAUCAUCAAAAGAAAAUAAAGUCAUUAAUAAUGAUUUAAUAUUGAUUAAAUAAAGAAAAUAAAAAGAAAAAUGUCAAAGAGGUAACAAAACAUCGAAUAAAAGUCCAAGAAAAAUAUG